GGACCUAUGGCGCAACGGUAGCGCGUCUGAUUCCAGUCUUAUUCGGAAUCUCCAGAAGGUUAGCCGUUCGAAUCGGCUUAGGUUCA